GGACAGCCUUGUGUUGUUCCUGAUUUUAAGGGACUCACAAUGAGUUUCUGUCCAUUUAGUUUGAUGUUGGCUGUUGGCUUGCUCUAUAUUGCUUUUAUUAUGUUUAGGUAUGUUCCUGUUAUCCCUGAUCUCUCCAAGACCUUUAACAUGAAGGAGUGUUGGAUUUUGUCAAAGCCUUUUUCAGCAUUUAGUGAGAUGAUCAUGUGGUUUUUCUUUCUCUGUCUGUUUAUAUGGUGGAUUACAUUGAUGGAUUUCCUUAUGUUGAACCAUCCUUGCAUCCCUAGGAUGAAGCCUACUUGAUCAUGGUGGAUGAUUUCUCUGAUGUGUUCUUGGAAGGGGUUUCACCUUUGUUUCCACAAGAGAAGAAAACCUUUGGAUACCAUUAAAGUUGAUCAAUAUUUGAGUUGAAAAAGAAAAACUUCUGGAUGAGGAGAAAUGACAGGUCAUCCACUAAGGUAUAUCUCAUAAACUGUAUAGAAACCUCACAAAGAAAAGGGAAAUGUUUUGUUUUUGUCUUCACAGGGAAACUCAUCUCCAGGAAAUACAAGGAUACUAAAUGGAUACUUAAAGAAGAGAGGAAAGUAAAUGUGCCCCACCUCAUCAAGUUCACUGGAUCCAACUUGAUUCGUUUGAACUGACACUCUGGCCAGAGCUUCAAGAACUGACAUUAAUCAACACAAGGACUUUAAUCAAGAUAAGGACUUCAACCUAGACCUUCAAUCAAUCAUCUCCCACCAAACACAGACUGGAUACAUAUGUUGCAGAUAAUCCACUCAAUACUUUCACUACUCUAACAUUUUCUUCUUAAGAGACCUCUUGAGGCUAUCACUGUCCCAUUUCAGCAGGAAGUAACUUCCAGAAUACUACGCCGCCUUUCCCCACUGUUGACACUAAGGGUAUUGUACACUUAGUUAGGGCUAGUUUCCUAUUGUUUAGGGAUGGUUUUGGAAGGAGGUGUUCAGGCUUGGACAUCUCUUUCAGAUGACUUUAGGGUUUAGAUGGAAUAGAUAUAGUUAAGAUGUGACAUUAGUAGAUUAUUAUAUCUUCUUGUAAUUCACCUUUAUGAUUGCUAAUUAUAGAUAACUUCAACUGUUAAGUUUAAAUCCUCUUUAGAUUAAAAGGGGGAAUUGUAGGGAGAAAUCCUGAUUAGAGGUCCUGCUGACCACACCUGUUUGGGCAUGGUCACAGCUACAUAACAAGGGUUUAAGAAGGAGGGAGGCAUCUCUUUAGCCUGGCUGGGCUGACUGGGAAGCAUUUUAGGGUCCCUCCUGCUCAGGUGAAAACCUGGUCACUGGCUGCCUUGCAUGAGUACUUUUCCCCAAUAAACUACCCUUUAUCAACCUAUUUCUGACUCCACUUUGUAAACAUCUAUAGUUUUGUUUACCAAUGUCUAAUAAAGAUUACUCUAUAUUCCUCCAAUCCCAUUUUUAUUUUUACAAUAAGUAAAAAUAUACAAACAAGCCGGGCGUUGGUGGCACAUGCCUUUAAUCCCAGCACUCAGGAGGCAGAGGCAGACGGAUCUCUGUGAGUUCGGAGGCCAGCUUGGUCUCCAGAGCGAGUGCUAGG
rnacentral:lncRNA from 1 species